CCCGCCGGCGACCGGCGCACGGGUGAGUAACACGUAUGCAACCUGGCCGCCACAGGGGGAUAACCCGCGGAAACGCGGCCUAAUACCCCGUGACGCCACCGGAGGGCAUCCUCCGGUGGCCAAAGGAGCGAUCCGGUGGCGGACGGGCAUGCGGCGCAUUAGCUAGACGGCGGGGUGACGGCCCACCGUGGCGACGAUGCGUAGGGGUUCCGAGAGGAAGGCCCCCCACACUGGGACUGAGACACGGCCCAGACUCCUACGGGAGGCAGCAG
rnacentral:rRNA from 1 species